rnacentral:rRNA from 1 species
CCUAUUAUUACAUAAAUAGCAAAAAUUGCCCGAGUAAUAAUAGUUAAAUUCUUUAAACUCAAAGAAUUUGGCGGUGUUUUAGCCCAUUCAGAGGAACUUGUCCCAUAAUCGAUAGUCCCCGUUAUAAUUUAUUUAGUUUUGUUCGAGCUUGUAUACCGCUGUCAUAAGAGUAUUCUAGGAGGAAGUGCUCAAGAUUUUUAAGUAAAAAGUAUGUCAAGUCAAGGUGCAGCCCAUGACUAAAAGGAGAUGAGUUACAAUAACAAAAGUUAAACAGAUGAGUGUUGGGAAACAGGAAGAAGGUGGAUUUGAAGGUAAUAAAAAUUAGGAACUUUUUAUGAAAAGGCUCUAAAACAUGCACA